ACUAAUCUGAAAUGCAACACAAUCAAUCACGGAGUUGUUUAACGAUAGCAAUAUAUAAUUCGUUUCUCCCUGAAGAAUCUCCAUAUAUCAAACAAAGUUCCCACUAAGUAUGUAUGUAUAUCACAAAGUAAAGUAAGUAAACUUUUAUUACAGUUUUGGAACUCGGCAGUGAUCGCAAGACUUGCGUGGAGCCCGAAGCGUUUCUGGUGUACAGUCGCAAGAACGUAAUUGGCAGGAUCAGCAUAGAGAAUGAAAACAACGACGCAGUGUUGCCGAUAAAGGAACUGAAGGAAGUCAGCGCUCUAGCCGUGCAUGUGUCUGGAGCUAAAUUGUACUGGUCAGACAGCAAAAUGAAAACAAUCAGUCGAUGUUCUAUAGACGGAACUAAUGUGGAGAAGAUAUUAGAGUGGAUGGGAUUAGUUGAAGGUCUCGCAAUCGACUGGGCGGGGCAGAACAUCUACUGGACGGACACGGCGACGCAGCGCAUCGAGGUGGCGCGGCUCGACGGCUCCAGCAGGAGCGCUCAU